GGUGAGUAACACGUGGGCAACCUACCUAUAAGACUGGGAUAACUCGCGGAAACGUGAGCUAAUACCGGAUAAUACUUUUUAUUGCAUAGUAAGAAGUUUGAAAGGCGGCGUAAGCUGUCACUUAUAGAUGGACCCGCGGCGCAUUAGCUAGUUGGUGAGGUAAAGGCUCACCAAGGCAACGAUGCGUAGCCGACCUGAGAGGGUGAUCGGCCACACUGGGACUGAGACACGGCCCAGACUCCUACGGGAGGCAGCAGUAGGGAAUCUUCCGCAAUGGACGAAAGUCUGACGGAGCAACGCCGCGUGAGUGAAGAAGGUUUUCGGAUCGUAAAACUCUGUUGUUAGGGAAGAACAAGUCAGGUAGUAACUGACCUGACCUUGACGGUACCUAACCAGAAAGCCACGGCUAACUACGUGCCAGCAGCCGCGGUAAUACGUAGGUGGCAAGCGUUGUCCGGAUUUAUUGGGCGUAAAGCGCUCGCAGGCGGUCUUUNNNNNNNNNAUGUGAAAGCCCACGGCUUAACCGUGGAGGGUCAUUGGAAACUGGAGGACUUGAGUGCAGAAGAGGAGAGUGGAAUUCCAUGUGUANGCGGUGAAAUGCGUAGAGAUAUGGAGGAACACCAGUGGCGAANGCGACUCUCUGGUCUGUAACUGACGCUGAGGAGCGAAAGCGUGGGUAGCGAACAGGAUUAGAUACCCUGGNAGUCCACGCC
rnacentral:rRNA from 1 species